rnacentral:rRNA from 1 species
UACGAAGGGGGCUAGCGUUGUUCGGAAUUACUGGGCGUAAAGCGCACGUAGGCGGAUCGAUCAGUCAGGGGUGAAAUCCCAGGGCUCAACCCUGGAACUGCCUUUGAUACUGUCGAUCUGGAGUAUGGAAGAGGUGAGUGGAAUUCCGAGUGUAGAGGUGAAAUUCGUAGAUAUUCGGAGGAACACCAGUGGCGAAGGCGGCUCACUGGAUCGGUACUGACGCUGAGGUGCGAAAGCGUGGGGAGCAAACAGGG